UCUCUUGUUUUCUGUUGCUCUUUGGACUCUGGAACGUGAAUUCUGGUGCGGUAUUCCUUUGGUAGCGGAGCAUGAUCUUGCAGCUGUCAUUUUGUUUUCUAAUUUUUUUGGCAUGGUUAUCUAAGAUCUUAAUAUAAGAUCUAUGGAGUUACUGUUGUGAAUGAAAGUUUCCAGAUUUGGUGAACCAGUGAACAAUCUUUUGAGAGCCAAAAUGCAAAUUUCUUAUGAUGAAAAUGUUGAGAAUCAAACAUGAGUUUCUUUUUUCACAAACUACACUGUGCAUAAAAAAAUUUGCCUGCAAUGAGUGAGAAACAUUUAAGAGUAUGAUUUGGAGUUGGUUUCAAAAUCAUUGAGAAUUUAUGAGCUAGAGAAUAAUGCGUUAACGAUAACACAGACAAAUAUUCCUGAAGGAGAAUUUUCUAAAUGCUUAAAUUUCUCAAUAAAUUUUUGGUUUAUGCAGAGAAAUUGUACUAAGAAAGCUCAUAUCAACUCGGGGGUUACUCUGGAUACCUUUUUUAUAUGGAAAGGAUAUUAUCCGGAUCGAUUAUAUUUUUGAUUUAUGCAGAGAAAUUGUAAUAAGAACACCCUUUUUUAUGGAAAUGCUAUUAUCCGGAUUGAAUAG
rnacentral:lncRNA from 1 species